rnacentral:rRNA from 1 species
GAAACCGUACAGAGAAUAAACGUACGAGCUAAAACGUUGGCACAGAUUCAGCAAUGCUUCGCGGUAUUGUGCAUUUCUGUGCCGUGGCGACCGGGGAGUGGAGUGCGUUGACGCUGCGUGGAGAGGACUGCCUCGGUAGAAACCUACUCGUGGUCGAUCGUACAAAGUUCUUUUAACGGCACUUCGUUCGAGGCGGCAGUCGCGCUGGUAUAGCUUAUUGGGGGCAGGACUUCGUGCGCCUGUGUUCAGAAGCUUUAUUACGUUCGGAGCCCUUGACAUGUGUCUGGUUGCCAGAGUUUGACCUUGUACGACCCGUCUUGAAACACGGACCAAGGAGUCUAAAUUGUGCGCGAGCCAUUGGGUACCUAUCCCCAUAGGCGAAACGAAUGUAAUGAGGUUGGAUCUUAUUGCGCACCUCAUACGUGUGUUCUGUUCGCAGAAUGCUCAGUCAGAGUGCACAGAUUAGUACCCGAAAGAUGGUGAACUAUGCUUGAGCAGGAUGAAGCUAGAGGAAACUCUGGUGGAGGUCCGAAGCGGUUCUGACGUGCAAAUCGAUCGUCAGACUUGAGUAUAGGGGCGAAAGACUAAUCGAACCAUC